rnacentral:rRNA from 1 species
AUUGAACGCUGGCGGAAUGCUUUACACAUGCAAGUCGAGCGGCAGCGCGGGGCAACCUGGCGGCGAGCGGCGAACGGGUGAGUAAUGCAUCGGAACAUGUCCAUGUCGUGGGGGAUAGCCCGGCGAAAGCCGGAUUAAUACCGCAUACGCUCGAGAGAGGAAAGCCGGGGACCGCAAGGCCUGGCGCGAUUGGGUUGGCCGAUGUCCGAUUAGCUAGUUGGUGAGGUAAAGGCUUACCAAGGCGAUGAUCGGUAGCUGGUCUGAGAGGAUGAUCAGCCACACUGGGACUGAGACACGGCCCAGACUCCUACGGGAGGCAGCAGUGGGGAAUUUUGGACAAUGGGGGCAACCCUGAUCCAGCCAUUCCGCGUGAGUGAAGAAGGCCUUCGGGUUGUAAAGCUCUUUUGUCCGGAGCGAAACGGGCGCGGCUAAUACCUGCGUCUACUGACGGUACCGGAAGAAUAAGUACCGGCUAACUACGUGCCAGCAGCCGCCGUAAGAC